ACACCCUGUCCAUGAAAUUGAAUGUUGCUCCUCGUGAUUUUAGCCAGUGAAUUCUUUUGCAAUAGUUUAAAAGAAAUGUCAAAUAGUAUUUCAUAAUGCAUUUAAAAGAAUGGUAUAUUUUAUAGAAUGCUAAUAUUGUUUUACUUGUAUGUUUAGUAGUCACAAAAAAAUGUAAUAUAUUAUUAUUUGUUUUACUUUUUUCAAGUGGAAUAGAUUGUAAAGUUGAAAUUUCUGUAACAAUUAAACACCUAUGAUUCUUCCAUACAAUAUGUAUGAGGUUUUUUUAAAGCAGGGUGUAUGUUUUUUUCAAUAUUACCAUAUUCUUAUAUCUUAGGUAACAGUAUUAUACAAG
rnacentral:lncRNA from 1 species